ACCUUGGGGGCAAAUAUUUGACGCAGACAACCCCGCGUGAGUGAAGAAGGUUUUCGGAUCGUAAUUACUCUGUCUUUGGGGACGAAUAAUGACGGUACCCAAGGAAGGAAGCCCCGGUUAAUUCUUGCCACCAACCCCGGUAAUCCGUAGGGGGCAAGCUUUGUCCGGAAUUAUUGGGCGUAAAGGGCGUGUAGGCGGUUUCUUAAGUCAGGUGUGAAAGUCUGGUUUUUAACCCCGGAAUUGCACUUGAAACUGCAAUACUUGAGUACUGGAGAGGUAAGUGGAAUUCCUAGUGUAGCGGUGAAAUGCAUAGAGAUUAGGAGGAACACCAGUGGCAAAGGCGACUUACUGGACAGAGACUGACGCUGAGGCCCGAAAGCGUGGGGAGCAAACAGGAUUAGAUACCCUGGUAGUCCAC
rnacentral:rRNA from 1 species